rnacentral:rRNA from 1 species
UAGCGAAAUUCCUUGUCGGGUAAGUUCCGACCUGCACGAAUGGCGUAACGACUUCCCCACUGUCUCGACCAGGAGCUCGGCGAAAUUGCAGUACGAGUAAAGAUGCUCGUUAAGCGCAGAAGGACGAAAAGACCCCGGGACCUUUACUAUACCUUGGUAUUGGCAUUCGGUGUGGAUUGUGUAGCAUAGGCGGGAGGCCGAGAGGCGCGGUCGCCAGAUCGCGCGGAGCCGUAAGGUGAAAUACCGCUCUGUUCGCAUUGGAUGUCUAACCUCGAACAGUCAUCCUGUUCAGGGACAGUGCCUGGCGGGUAGUUUAACUGGGGCGGUUGCCUCCCAAAGAGUAACGGAGGCGCCCAAAGGUCCGCUCAGCCCGGUUGGCAAUCGGGUGGCGAGUGCAAGUGCACAAGCGGGCUUGACUGCGAGGACGACGGUCCGAGCAGGGACGAAAGUCGGGACUAGUGAUCCGGUGCCGGUGUACGGACGCGGCAUCGCUCAACGGAUAAAAGGUACCCCGGGGAUAACAGGCUGAUCAUUCCCAAGAGUCCAUAUCGACGGGAUGGUUUGGCACCUCGAUGUCGGCUCGUCGCAUCCUGGGGCUGGAGCAGGUCCCAAGGGUUCGGCUGUUCGCCGAUUAAAGCGGCACGCGAGCUGGGUUCAGAACGUCGUGAGACAGUUUGGUCUCUAUCCUCUGCGCUCGUUGGAAUGCUGAGGAGGCCUGCCCAUAGUACGAGAGGACCUGGGUGGACGAACCUCUGGUAUGCCGGUUGUCACGCCAGUGGCACGGCCGGUUGGCUACGUUCGGAAGGGAUAACCGCUGAAAGCAUCUAAGCGGGAAGCCUGCUCCAAGAUAAGCAUUCCGUGGAACCUUCGAGUUCCUGUAGUCCCCAUGCAGAACACGUGGUCGAUAGGCCGGACGUGGAAGCCCCGCGAGGGGUGGAGCCGACCGGUACUAACGGACGAAAGGCAACACUAA